rnacentral:rRNA from 1 species
GACGAACGCUGGCGGCGUGCUUAACACAUGCAAGUCGAACGGAAAGGCCCUGCUUUUGUGGGGUGCUCGAGUGGCGAACGGGUGAGUAACACGUGAGUAACCUGCCCUUGACUUUGGGAUAACUUCAGGAAACUGGGGCUAAUACCGGAUAGGAGCUCCUGCUGCAUGGUGGGGGUUGGAAAGUUUCGGCGGUUGGGGAUGGACUCGCGGCUUAUCAGCUUGUUGGUGGGGUAGUGGCUUACCAAGGCUUUGACGGGUAGCCGGCCUGAGAGGGUGACCGGCCACAUUGGGACUGAGAUACGGCCCAGACUCCUACGGGAGGCAGCAGUGGGGAAUAUUGCACAAUGGGCGGAAGCCGGAUGCAGCAACGCCGCGUGCGGGAGGACGGCCUUCGGGUUGUAAACCGCUUUCGCCUGUGACGAAGCGUGAGUGACGGUAAUGGGGAAAGAAGCACCGGCUAACUACGU